UGACCUCGGAUCAGGUAGGAAUACCCGCUGAACUUAAGCAUAUCAAUAAGCGGAGGAAAAGAAACCAACAGGGAUUGCCCUAGUAACGGCGAGUGAAGCGGCAACAGCUCAAAUUUGAAAUCUGGCUACUUUGUAGUCCGAGUUGUAAUUUGUAGAGGAUGCUUUUGGUGAGGUGCUUUCUGAGUUCCCUGGAACGGGACGCCAGAGAGGGUGAGAGCCCCGUACAGUUAGCAACUGAUCCUUUGUAUAGCUCCUUCGACGAGUCGAGUAGUUUGGGAAUGCUGCUCUAAAUGGGAGGUAUAUCUCUUCUAAAGCUAAAUAUAGGCUAGAGACCGAUAGCGCACAAGUAGAGUGAUCGAAAGAUGAAAAGCACUUUGAAAAGAGAGUUAAACAGCACGUGAAAUUGUUGAAAGGGAAGCGCCUAUGACCAGACUUGUCUCUAUCAGUUUUGGUAGUUUUCGGACUGCUUUACUCUGUUAGUACAGGCCAACAUCAGUUUGUUGUCGGGGAGAAAGGCUUAGGGAAUGUGGCUCCCUCGGGAGUGUUAUAGACCUUUGCAUAA
rnacentral:rRNA from 1 species